rnacentral:rRNA from 1 species
AUUGAACGCUGGCGGCAGGCCUAACACAUGCAAGUCGAGCGGGGUUUUCGGACCUAGCGGCGGACGGGUGAGUAAUGCGUAGGAAGCUACCCGAUAGAGGGGGAUACCAGUUGGAAACGACGGUUAAUACCGCAUAGUGUCUAAGGACCAAAGUGUGGGACCUUCGGGCCACAUGCUAUCGGAUGUGCCUACGUGGGAUUAGCUAGUUGGUGAGGUAAUGGCUCACCAAGGCGACGAUCCCUAGCUGGUUUGAGAGGAUGAUCAGCCACACUGGAACUGAGACACGGUCCAGACUCCUACGGGAGGCAGCAGUGGGGAAUAUUGGACAAUGGGCGCAAGCCUGAUCCAGCCAUGCCGCGUGUGUGAAGAAGGCCUUCGGGUUGUAAAGCACUUUCAGUAAGGAGGAAGCGUUGAGUGUUAAUAGUACUCAGCGUUGACGUUACUUACAGAAGAAGCACCGGCUAACUCUGUGCCAGCAGCCGCAGUAACAC